rnacentral:miRNA from 1 species
GACGGACCGAGUGUGCUAAACA